UACAGAGGUCCCAAGCGUUGUUCGGAUUCACUGGGCGUAAAGGGUGCGUAGGCGGGGCUUUAAGUCAGGGGUGAAAUCCUGGAGCUCAACUCCAGAACUGCCUUUGAUACUGAGGAUCUUGAGUUCGGGAGAGGUGAGUGGAACUGCGAGUGUAGAGGUGAAAUUCGUAGAUAUUCGCAAGAACACCAGUGGCGAAGGCGGCUCACUGGCCCGAUACUGACGCUGAGGCACGAAAGCGUGGGGAGCAAACAGG
rnacentral:rRNA from 1 species